CAGCAGCCGCGGUAAUACGAAGGGUGCAAGCGUUACUCGGAAUUACUGGGCGUAAAGCGUGCGCAGGCGGUUAUAUAAGACAGAUGUGAAAUCCCCGGGCUCAACCUGGGAACUGCAUUUGUGACUGUAUAGCUAGAGUACGGCAGAGGGGGAUGGAAUUCCGCGUGUAGCAGUGAAAUGCGUAGAUAUGCGGAGGAACACCGAUGGCGAAGGCAAUCCCCUGGGCCUGUACUGACGCUCAUGCACGAAAGCGUGGGGAGCAAACAGGAUUAGAUACCCGAGUAGUCCCUGUCUCUUAUAA
rnacentral:rRNA from 1 species